rnacentral:misc_RNA from 1 species
CAACGGGGGGUUGAUGG